rnacentral:rRNA from 1 species
GUGGGGAAUCUUAGACAAUGGGGGCAACCCUGAUCUAGCCAUGCCGCGUGAGUGAUGAAGGCCUUAGGGUCGUAAAGCUCUUUCGCUGGGGAAGAUAAUGACGGUACCCAGUAAAGAAACCCCGGCUAACUCCGUGCCAGCAGCCGCGGUAAUACGGAGGGGGUUAGCGUUGUUCGGAAUUACUGGGCGUAAAGCGCGCGUAGGCGGAUUGGAAAGUUGGGGGUGAAAUACCGGGGCUCAACCCUGGAAUGGCCUUCAAAACUCCCAGUCUUGAGGUCGAGAGAGGUGAGUGGAAUUCCGAGUGUAGAGGUGAAAUUCGUAGAGAUUCGGAGGAACACCAGUGGCGAAGGCGGCUCACUGGCUCGAUACUGACGCUGAGGUGCGAAAGCGUGGGGAGCAAACAGGAUUAGAAACCCGUGUAGUCC